ACCUAGGUAGCUCAGGGGUAGAGCGAAAGACUGAAAAUCUUCAGGUCGGAAGUUCAAAUCUUCCCCUAGGUA
rnacentral:tRNA from 1 species